rnacentral:rRNA from 1 species
CAAUAGCGUAUAUUAAAGUUGUUGCAGUUAAAAAGCUCGUAGUUGGAUUUGUGGCGUACGGUGUGUUCCGGGCACUUGUUGUCUGAGUAACCUGCUGUUGCCAUCCUUGGGUGGAACCUGUGUGGCAUUAGGUUGUCGUGCAGGGGAUGCCCAUCACUUACUGUGAAAAAAUUAGAGUGUUCAAAGCAGGCUUAUGCCGUUGAAUAUAUUAGCAUGGAAUAAUGAGAUAGGACUUUCUUGCUAUUUUGUUGGUUUGCGCAAAGAGGUAAUGAUUAAUAGGGACAGUUGGGGGUAUUCGUAUUCCAUUGUCAGAGGUGAAAUUCUUGGAUUUUUGGAAGACGAACUACUGCGAAAGCAUUUACCAAGGAUGUUUUCAUUAA